AGCGAACGCUGGCGGCAGGCUUAACACAUGCAAGUCGAACGGGCUUCUUCGGACGUCCGUGGCAGACGGGUGAGUAACACGUGGGAACGUGCCCUUCGGUUCGGAAUAACUCAGGGAAACUUGAGCUAAUACCGGAUACGCCCUUUUGGGGAAAGGUUUACUGCCGAAGGAUCGGCCCGCGUCUGAUUAGCUUGUUGGUGGGGUAACGGCCUACCAAGGCGACGAUCAGUAGCUGGUCUGAGAGGAUGAUCAGCCACACUGGGACUGAGACACGGCCCAGACUCCUACGGGAGGCAGCAGUGGGGAAUAUUGGACAAUGGGCGCAAGCCUGAUCCAGCCAUGCCGCGUGAGUGAUGAAGGCCUUAGGGUUGUAAAGCUCUUUUGUCCGGGACGAUAAUGACGGUACCGGAAGAAUAAGCCCCGGCUAACUUCGUG
rnacentral:rRNA from 1 species